ACCGUGAGGAUCGACAGAUUGAGAGCUCUUUCUUGAUUCGGUGGGUGGUGGUGCAUGGCCGUUCUUAGUUGGUGGAGCGAUUUGUCUGGUUAAUUCCGAUAACGAACGAGACUCUAGCCUACUAAAUAGUUCGCCUAUGCUCGUAGGUAGGCGUUAACUUCUUAGAGGGACAAGUGGCGCUUAGCCACACGAGAUUGAGCAAUAACAGGUCCUGGU
rnacentral:rRNA from 1 species